UACGGAGGGUGCAAGCGUUAUCCGGAUUUAUUGGGUUUAAAGGGUGCGUAGGCGGCCCUAUAAGUCAGUGGUGAAAUAUCGCAGCUUAACUGUGAGGGUGCCAUUGAUACUGUAGGGCUUGAGUGAAUUUGAGGUAGGCGGAAUUGACGGUGUAGCGGUGAAAUGCUUAGAUAUCGUCAAGAACACCGAUAGUGAAGACAGCUUACCAAGCUUCAACUGACGCUGAGGCACGAAAGUGUGGGGAUCAAACAGG
rnacentral:rRNA from 1 species